UGUAUUCCUUCCACACAGUGGUUCCUGUGAUUCUGAAGGCCCUGACCUAUGACGAGAAGCGGGGUGCUUGCAGUGUGGGCUCCAAUGUCCGAGAUGCUGCCUGUUAUGUGUGCUGGGCCUUUGCGCGUGCCUACGACCCACUGGAACUCCAGCCGUUUGUCACUCCCAUUGCCUGUGCCCUGGUGAUAGCUGCUGUGUUUGACCGGGAUGUCAAUUGCAGAAGAGCUGCUUCUGCUGCCUUCCAGGAGAAUGUUGGGAGACAGGGUACAUUCCCACAUGGCAUCGACAUUCUCACCACAGCAGACUACUUCACUGUUGGAAACCGGACAAACUGUUUCUUAAACAUAAGUGUGUAUAUUGCCAGUUUCCCAGAGUACACCCAGCCUAUGAUAGACCAUCUAGUAAGCAUGAAGAUAAACC